AUACCCAGGCUGUCCAGCUCGGUAGAAAGCAGAAACCCGCGGCCACCCCACGCUGCAAAGAGCAUCUGCUCCGAGAAGCAAGGACCCUGCGAGGCCUGAGAGGUGGGGAGAGAAGCUGGGAACGACAGCAAGGCCAGCCCCAACAGAUGGAAGCUACGGGGAGGCCAGUUUAAACUUGAUUGAAGGAGCUGUGAUUCACUGAAGGAAGGUGGAAAGGGUUCCUUCCCCACCCGAGGAAGCAGCAACCACAUCCCCUCAGUGGAGGAAUCCAUGAACUGUCCAAUUCGGACGGCACGAUCCACACGAUGUGUGUGGGCAGCUGCAGGCCCUGCUCUGCCCAGAUCCUUAGUGCUCCUGAGAGGAACACUGGCCCAGCGACACAUCCAUCUGGAACCCCGGGGAAGGCUGAAGUAAAACGUCUUGGUUUCCCCCUGCAUGUCCCAACAGGCUGUGUGUCCAAGGAAUCCGGAAGCCUCUGUAAGUCAUUUCUGUUGUCACUACUGUCCAGUGUUGGCUGUGACAUGGCCCCUGGAAGCCCAACAACGGCAGCCAAACCUGCUGAAGAAACGUGGAGACUUCGUGCUCCCCUCCAAACCAACCUUGAGGUCAUUGGCGGGAGGAACCGCAGACUCUCCCGACUCCUGGAAAGGAGCAUGUGAAGAUUCGGUCUCUUUCCAGAAGUUGUUCCAAUGGAAAUCAUCGUUUUGCACAGGAGAUAUUCUUGACUGUCCUUCUGGACAGUCUCACGAUCUAAAUGUUGUCCCUGGUGUCCUGCCUGGUGCUGUUUUCCAGGCAAUGGCAGUGGGCAAAGCCUGGCCAUUUUCCAGGGUCCAGUCACAGGGGAAUCCAGGGCACCAUGUUUGGGGGCCCAAGCGCAGAGCCCAGGCCUAAGUGUGUGCAGGUGGUUUCUUUUACAGCUUUACUGAGGAAUAACUGACAUACAAUAAACUU